rnacentral:rRNA from 1 species
UACGAAGGGGGCGAGCGUUGUUCGGAUUUACUGGGCGUAAAGGGCGCGUAGGCGGCCUUGUCAGUCAGGCGUGAAAGCCCCGGGCUCAACCUGGGAACGGCGCUUGGGACGGCGAGGCUGGAGUUCGGGAGAGGAGAGUGGAAUUCCCAGUGUAGAGGUGAAAUUCGUAGAUAUUGGGAAGAACACCGGUGGCGAAGGCGGCUCUCUGGACCGUAACUGACGCUGAGGCGCGAAAGCGUGGGGAGCAAACAGG